UUGCACGCCCAAUUUUUCAGUUUUUGAUUUGUUAAAAAAGUUUGAAAUAUCCAAUAAAUGUCAUUCCACUUCAUGAUUGUGUCCCACUUGUUGUUGAUUCUUCACAAAAAAAUACAGUUUUAUAUCUUUAUGUUUGAAGCCUGAAAUGUGGCAAAAGGUCGCAAAGUUCAAGGGGGCCGAAUACUUUCGCAAGGCACUGUAUUUGGUCACCUACUAACUUGCACAAUUGGUGGCUGACUAAAUACUUGUUUUGCCCCACUGUAUGUGUAUGUAUAUAUAUGUGUGUAUUUAAAAUAUUUCAAUAUUCACAACAGUACAACUUGCCAAUGAAUUAGCAUGACCUGUUUUAUGUGUAGCUCAGCAUGCAGUCUGUGACUUGGCGGUGUUAAUGGUAAAUCUGAGGACUCUCUGUUCGCAGUUUUUUUAUGAGGCCAGAUGGUCGGCUUCACGCUCACAGCGCAUGGCCUCUCAUGAAGCCUAUGACUCAUUCCGCUUGCCUGCUAUAGCACCAUAGCUCUUAGUGGGAAGUCUGGGUCCAGUUGCUAAUUGAAGGUAAACCCUAAUUAGUCUCCAGUCUCCCUGAUCAUUUUUUCACUGAACAACUUUCACCCUCAACAUUGCGCUCUCUCUCUCUCUGUUUCUCUCUCUGUCUUUCUUUGUUCUUCUCUCUUCCUUACAGUGUUUCAGUUCCUCUCGCCCGUCUGCCUGGUCAGAAAUACAUUACCGGAGCUGCCGAGCUUGGUGUUUGCUUUCCUCUGUGGGAAAUAUCAGGAACCAAGAUUGAAAGAGGCCUACAGGAUUAGUUCACCGUGCCACUCUCCACAGGGUCCACACUUAACUGUCGAGUUGGGUGAAGGAACCUGAUCCCCAGAAGUAGCCUCUACCUGAUCUUGUGAAACUUUUUCACGGGUUCAGGGCUUCACACUUACUCAACUCAGGCGACAUGCAUUGGGGCCCUGACUUCCAGCCAACCACACUCACGUUGCUACUGCUGCUCAGUGCUCAUGAGUAACAUGUUCAUCACAUAACUGGUUGGAGUGGUAGAAAAUGUAUGUACCUUAUCUGUACACUCUUAGAAAAAAAUGUGCUAAGUAGAACCAUAUAGGGUUUUUCUGUUUUGGGUGCUAGGUAGAACCCUCUAUGUAGGGUUCUUUAUUUAACCCUCUGUGUAUGGCUCUACCUAGAACCCUCUAUGAAGGGUUCUACCAAGAACCAUUUUAUAAUCUAAAGGUUCUUCCUUGAGCUCUCAAUUAACGGUUCCACCAGCCUUAAAAUGUAAUUAUUUAUGACAGUGCAUUACAUACUGUAUAUCAUAAGGCCUUUCUUUGAGGGCCUAGUUAUACCCCAACACAAUGGUGUUAUGAAACUCCUAGUUUACAGUUUACAUCAGGCCUGCAAAUCACAUUAUGCUGGCUUGCAAUGUGAUGUGUAAUUCUUAUUGGAAUCCAGCCAGAGUUAGGAUAUCCAGUAAAUAUAAAUGUUUGUCAUGUAAUCAUGCAACCUGCAUUCAGAAUCACUUGCUGGGUAGGGAAGAUUGAAUACUGAGAGUACAACUACUAACAGAUUGGAUUAGUUUAGAAAAAUGUAUGUUCUAUACAUUUGUGUAGCAUAAAAUGUAUCAACCAAUCAAUGCACAUGUAAAAACACAGCCAUUAAAACAAACAAUUCUGAAAAUCACCUUGCAGUGGAGCAUGCUGGGAAAUAUAAUAUAUGAUUCUAUGUAGAACUCUUAUUGCCUUCCAAAUAAUUACCAAAUAACCCUUUCCUCUAAAAAUGGUUCUAGGUAAAACUAUUUGCCUUAUAAGAACCCUUGUCUUCCAAAAAGGGAUCUUCAGAUCAAAACAGUUCUUGGUAGAACCCUAUCCCUCCGUGAAGAACCCAUUUGGCACCCUUUUUCUAUGAGUGUAGCUAGAUUUCCUAGAGGAUUCAAAAUGACAACCUCAACUUUUAUCGCUAUCAAAAUUCAUGGGACCUGGGAUUCCAGUUCUUUCUUUCUUUCUUUUUGAGGGCAGGCUCAUUGCAAUAUCUUUAUUACUUUUACUGUAAUUGAACCUGUUGAAUGUUAUCGUUAAACAUAUCUUCAUGAGGGCCGUGAGCAAUACCUAGUAAUGCCUUACGUUGUUAGAAAGCUCAGGUAGUUUUUAUGUAUUCUUUCACUAUGAUUUGUAUGCACUGUUUGCCCUACAAUGUACUGCUUCAGUAAAUAGCAUAAAAAAUAGUACAUCAGCAAAUUUCAUAUGCUAUGAACAACCUUUCAUGAAACAUGUUUUAGAUCAUCUACAUACACUCAAAAUCAACUUUACAAUUGACAUGCUAUAAGAUUUCAACUGCCUUAUCACUGUACUCAUUUUUAUACCUAGUGGUCAAGGGAAAAUCUGACUAAUUUCCCAAACAACAUUACUCAAAUCUCUCCAUGUACGUAAGUAUGAUAUGGCAUAUUAUUUUGACAUUUGAUGUAUCUUUUAUUAAUUCCCACUGUUUGUUUAACAGCUGGUAUGUGUGAUGAAUAAAUACAAAAGCAUCACAGGUGUUUGACCUUUGAAAUGACGCUGAUCCGCAUGACAAAGUAUGUAAAUAAUGGAUUGUUCCCUGCGCUGAAAAAAGAGAUGGACUGGAUGGAUUUCUAGCUGUUGUACAAGUCGCCCCAGUAUGCAAUUAAAGUGAGGUAUGGAGCCCUUCUGCCUUCUUCAGGGGAGGCACUAGUUCAUAAAUGAAUUGGAACGCCUACUGCGAGCCAGGUCUAAACGCCCAACAUCAGUGCCCGACCUCACUAAUGCUGUUGUGGCUGAAUGUUGCAGCCAUGCUCCAACAUCUAGUGGAAAGCUUUCCCAGGAGAAUGCUAUUAUGGUAGCGAAGGGGGGGACCAACUCCAUAUUAAUGCCCAUGAUUUUGGAAUGAGAUGUUCUACGAGCACGUGUCCACAUACUUUUGUAGUGUUUUUUUAGGUAACUAGUGAGUGAAGCACUUGAUCAUUUAGCUUUUUGAAGGAGUUGAUUAUUUAGAAAAAGUUCAUUAUUUCAUUUUUGAAGGAGAUUAUUAUUUUGAAGGAGUUGAUUACUUCCCAAGCAAAGUCAGCCUCUGAAUGUCAAAGAAUCGAAACAAUGAUGUCCUCUCAUGCAUUGGAGUCACGUCUUUCUCUUUUAUUUUAGAGCUUGUUUCUAGCAUAAAGCAUCACAAACCAAAGCACUGUUAUAGAUCACUUUAAAUAAUCAGAUUUGUUUUAUUUUCUUAAAAAUCUUCAACUAAAAAGGGGUAGGCCUGUGCUUUUUGCCAUUUCCUUUUAGAAAAGGGGGGGGGGGGG
rnacentral:lncRNA from 13 species